rnacentral:rRNA from 1 species
GACGAAGGGGGCUAGCGUUGUUCGGAAUUACUGGGCGUAAAGCGCGUGUAGGUGGUUGUCCAAGUUGGAUGUGAAAGCCUUGAGCUCAACUCAAGAAAUGCAUUCAGGACUGGGCGGCUAGAGGACCGGAGAGGAUAGUGGAAUUCCCAGUGUAGUGGUGAAAUGCGUAGAUAUCAGGAGGAACACCUGUGGCGAAAGCGGCGCACUGGACCACAACUGACGCUGAGGCGCGAAAGCUAGGGGAGCAAACAGG